rnacentral:rRNA from 1 species
GACGAACGCUGGCGGCGUGCUUAACACAUGCAAGUCGAACGAAGUGGCGAACGGGUGAGUAACGCUUAAUCAACCUGCCCUUCAGCGGGGGACAACAGUUGUAAACUACUGCUACUACCGCAUACUCAAGGAGGGGAUUGCGUCUGAUUAGGUAGUGGGAGGGGGAACGGCCCACCAAGGCGAUGAACAGUAGCCGGUCGGGGAGGCGGAACGGACAAAAUGGGACUGAGAAACGGCCCAGAGUACUACGGGAGGAAGCAGUGGGGAAUCGUCCGAAAUGGACGAAAGUCUGACGGAGCAACGCCGCGUGAGUGAGGACGGCCUGCGGGUUGUAAAGCUCUGGUAAUCGGGACGCGGUACCGGAAUAGAAAGCCACGGCUAACUACGUGCCAGCAGCCGCGGUAAUUC